UUACACUGUUCCUCUUUGGACUUUCAGAAAUAAAAACCCAGCCCCCCUGGUGUGCAGUCACACUCGCGCCCUGAGGAGUGUUAAAAUUCAGCUCGAGAGGCACUUAGUGUCACAGAAGGGUAGAUAAAGAAACAAGAUUUCAAGCAGGAAGAAAUGAUAAAAAAGAAGCAGGACUUCAAGUGUCCUGUGAAACAGAGCAUUUGGCCUCCGGCAUACACAUCCAUGGGAGACGGCUCAACUUCUUUAUAAAGUGGUGAGUUUUGUGUGAGCACAGAUGCAUUUUGUUUUCCUAUGAGAAACCAGUGAUUAAAUUAUCAGAAAGCAAGCUAAAAACCAGGCUGCCUGAAUAUUCCCUCACACAUCCCCUGUGUCUCCCCAGCACCUUCUGCUCAGGAGGUGUGGGCUUUAUCUCCAAAGCUUUAGUUUAAAUGUCCAACACAUCUUAUUAAUGAAAGUAAUAAGCUGUUGUUUAUUAUAUGCCAUGAUGGGGAAUAUGACUAUUUAAUAUAAAUCUGACAUUUAAAUUCCACUUAGUUCUGAGAUGUGGACGAUAUCAAGGCAUAACUCUUUACCCUGGAGUAAAAACUCCCUGGGUCUGCAUUUUAAAGCAUUGAAGUUUUCAAAGUAAUCAGGUUCCUUUUUUUUUUUUUUUCCAGAGGAACCAAAUUGUGAAGACAUCUGUUCUGUUAUUAAUUUCACAUACAUCUUAAGCUCCUCAAGGCCAGAAAUGAGGCUUCAUUCACGUCGAAUUAAUGAAACAUGAUUGUUCAAGGGGAUAGAUUUUGACAGGAAUAUGUCAUGGCUCCGGACUGAACCGUAAAAUUCUAGAGGACGGGGAAUAGAAUCCAUGGGUUUUUUUUCUCUGCAGAACCUAACAACAUUUAAUGACAUCACCUUGGCUAAGAAUCAGGAAUUCAGAACACUAAGUUACCCUGAACUAUCUAAAAAUGAAAAUGGAAAGAUAAUUCUGCUCCAUGUCUGGUGUACUCCAACUGCGGAUAAGGUGCCCUUUAGGGCCUUAAAUGACAGGAACAAAGUAUGGUGGUUUGUCACUAGAGCUCCAGGAAGCCACGAGGAAACAGAUCUUAGGAACCAAAUUGCUCAAAAUGGGAAAUAAAUGAAGAAAUGUGCAGCAGAUGCUCCCAGCCUGGACAUGUAACCUUCAAGAAGAAGGGCCCACCAGUCAUGCUAAUUGGUCUUGAACAAUGGCUGUUUGCACUGGGAGAUGAGAGAGAGCGCCCUGUUUCUUCCUGAUUCCCUUCUAUAGGCAUCUUUCCAGGAUUUGAAAUUGAUAAUUGUAGACACAAAGAUAUACUUGGCCUACUUUGCCAGCCUAUUUGGAAUCAUGGGUGUCACCCUGCGUGUCUGGUAUAUGUGCAGAUGGUUUCUGGCGGCUUCAAUAAAAUCAGAAAACACAAAAUCUGUAUUUGUUUUUCUUUCCAGACAAUUGAAAGGAGCUGGUUGUCAGUGCCCUUGGUGUUGAAAUGAAAAAUGUUAUGCUGCUUUUUUAGAAGUGUUCAUUAUGCUUACAGUCCCGUAAUACUGCUAAACUCAGUUAUCUGGGCUAAGUUCGGAAGUGAUGAAAUAGAGUCAAUCAAUACUGGUAUCAAGUUUGAAUUAGUGAAUGCUUUAGAGAAGUAGAUGUAAUUUCUGAUUUCCAUUCGUAAACAGAAUUUCCACUUUAAUCAGUUCAGUACUUAUUAACUCAGCAUUUUCUCAAUGGUACUCAUUUGAGUACCACAUUUAUGAUAUUUUUG
ensembl:lncRNA